rnacentral:rRNA from 1 species
UACGGAGGGGGCUAGCGUUGUUCGGAAUUACUGGGCGUAAAGCGCGCGUAGGCGGACCUGCAAGUCGGGGGUGAAAGCCCGAGGCUCAACCUCGGAACUGCCUUCGAUACUGCGGGUCUCGAGUCCGGGAGAGGUGAGUGGAAUUCCUGGUGUAGCGGUGAAAUGCGUAGAGAUCAUGAGGAAGACCAGUGGCGAAGGCGGGUCUCUGGACAGUUCCUGACACUGAGGCACGAAGGCCAGGGGAGCAAACGGG